UUCUUCAUUUAGCUGGGUAAAGUCCUGAGCUCUUCUGGAAAAAUGAGCCCGUGGAAAGCAAGACUGGGAGCCUCCAGCAGGAGAAAGCAGGGCAGUGGGGGUGGCUGUGCCCCCCUGCCUCCCAGCCAGUUCAAAGCACUUUGUGGACCACACAGUCCCUCAUCUCCCUUCUCCUUCCAGGCUGUCAUCAGCUCCUUGAAACUAUACUCUAGCUUCUCCCAGACUCUAAGACAUCCAUCUUCUCAUGA
rnacentral:lncRNA from 1 species